GGAGAACACGACAGAAGAAGAAAACUGUUGCAGAAGGAAAAUUGCAGGAGCACAAAUACAAGAGGAGACAUUUUCACAGGUAUAUAGAUCCUGUCAAUUAAUUCUUGUUGGGGGGCAACCCUAAAAUCAUUCUCUUGGAUGAUGAAUCCAUAUUGGGUGGCAACCCUUAAAUGAUGAACAACAAAUCCAUGAGAGGAUUUUUGUUUAACAAAGCUCUGCCGAGCAAAAGAAAAUCCUUUGAAAUGGAUACAAAAUAUUGGAUACAAAAUCCAUCAUGGGUGUGUAACCCUCAAUCAAAUACCCUGAAUGGUAUAUCCAUUUUUGGGCAUAAAACUCAUUCAGUGGGUUCUCAAGAGCACAAAUCCAAUUUGGGUACAAAACCCAC
rnacentral:lncRNA from 1 species